rnacentral:tRNA from 2 species
GCGGAAGUGGCGGAAUUGGUAGACGCGCUGGAUUUAGGUUCCAGUAUCGCAAGAUGUGAGAGUUCAAGUCUCUCUUUCCGCACCA